AUCCAGAUUACGAGUCCCAAAUAGGACGAAAUGUGCAUCCUGGAU
rnacentral:hammerhead_ribozyme from 1 species